rnacentral:rRNA from 1 species
GACGAACGCUGGCGGCGUGCUUAACACAUGCAAGUCGAACGAAGUGGCGGACGGGUGAGUAACACGUAAUCAACCUGACCUUCAGAGGGGGACAACAGUUAGAAACGACUGCUAAUACCGCAUAAUGAGGGAGGGGAUUGCGUCUGAUUAGCGAGGUGGAGGGGUAACGGCCCACCAAGGCCACGAUCAGUAGCCGGUCUGAGAGGCUGAACGGCAACACUGGGACUGAGACACGGCCCAGACUCCUACGGGAGGCAGCAGGGGGGAAUCUUCCGCAAUGGACGAAAGUCUGACGGAGCAACGCCGCGUGAGUGAUGAAGGCCUUCGGGUUGUAAAGCUCUGUUAAUCAGGACGCGGUACCGGAAUAGAAAGCGACGGCUAACUACGUGCCAGCAGCCGCGGUAAUAC